GAAAUGCGAUAAGUAGUGUGAAUUGCAGAAUUCAGUGAAUCAUCGAAUCUUUGAACGCACAUUGCGCCCCUUGGUAUUCCAUGGGGCAUGCCUGUUCGAGCGUCAUUUGUACCCUCAAGCUCUGCUUGGUGUUGGGUGUUUGUCCCCGUCUCCGCGCGUGGACUCGCCCCAAAGUGAUUGGCAGCCGGCGUACUGGUCCCGGAGCGCAGCACAUGUCGCGCAAACGAGUGCCUUGGUACGGCGGCGUCCAUAAGCCCCUCUCUCACGCUCUUGACCUCGGAUCAGGUAGGGAUACCCGCUGACCUUAAGC
rnacentral:misc_RNA from 1 species